CCAGACUCCUACGGGAGGCAGCAGUAGGGAAUCUUCGGCAAUGGACGAAAGUCUGACCGAGCAACGCCGCGUGAGUGAAGAAGGUUUUCGGAUCGUAAAACUCUGUUGGUAGAGAAGAACGUUGGUGAGAGUGGAAAGCUCAUCAAGUGACGGUAACUACCCAGAAAGGGACGGCUAACUACGUGCCAGCAGCCGCGGUAAUACGUAGGUCCCGAGCGUUGUCCGGAUUUAUUGGGCGUAAAGCGAGCGCAGGUGGUUUAUUAAGUCUGGUGUAAAAGGCAGUGGCUCAACCAUUGUAUGCAUUGGAAACUGGUAGACUUGAGUGCAGGAGAGGAGAGUGGAAUUCCAUGUGUAGCGGUGAAAUGCGUAGAUAUAUGGAGGAACACCGGUGGCGAAAGCGGCUCUCUGGCCUGUAACUGACACUGAGGCUCGAAGGCGUGGGGAGCAAACAGGAUUAGAUACCCUGGUAGUCCACGCCGUAAACGAUGAGUGCUAGAUGUGGGGAGCUAUAAGUUCUCUGUAUCGCAGCUAACGCAAUAAGCACUCCGCCUGGGGAGUACGACCGCAAGGUUGAAACUCAAAGGAAUUGACGGGGGCCCGCACAAG
rnacentral:rRNA from 1 species